rnacentral:rRNA from 1 species
UACGUAGGGGGGCAAGCGUUGUCCGGAUUUAUUGGGCGUAAAGAGCGUGUAGGCGGCCAGGUAGGUCGGUUGUGAAAACUGGAGGCUCAACCUCCAGACGUCGACCGAAACCAUCUGGCUAGAGUCCGGAAGAGGAGAGUGGAAUUCCUGGUGUAGCGGUGAAAUGCGCAGAUAUCAGGAAGAACACCCGUGGCGAAAGCGGCUCUCUGGGACGGUACUGACGCUGAGACGCGAAAGCGUGGGGAGCGAACAGG